CACGAAAAAAGGGUGGUCCAUUGGA
rnacentral:sRNA from 1 species